AUCCUGGAGCUCAUCUCACAGCUCUCUGGCGGCCAGGGGGAGGGGAGUCAUGUGGGAUCUUGCCUGGCCUCUUCCUUCAGCCAAAUGGAAUGGAUUUAGCCUGAGAAACUGGGACAUACAGGGGGCGAAAUACAUUUCAGCAUCAGCCACAGGGGACAAGCUAUCACUACAUAGACAGUAUUUGAUAUAAAAAGGUGUCAAAACUGAUCUCUAGGCUCUGUGUCAACAUGCGAACUCAAUGCUCCAUAAAUUUCACCCCAAAAAAUAUGAGCGACAGUGAAUUGGAGUAGAUCCAUCCAAGGAAACUGUGCCUUGCAGACCUGUUUCCCAGCCUAACUUCUUGGAAAAACGUAUGACCUCGUGCAGGCAGACUGCACCCGCCUGCCCCCCACUGCACAAGGAGAACAUGACUUGCCACUGCUUCAAACACAGGAAAGAUUUCAGCAGUGGACAAACUGCAAUUCUCAGUAUCUCAUGAUGGGUUUAUUCUGUUAGAAGCAUUUGGAUCAUUGCUGCCUCUAAGGAGUUAACAUUCUGGUUGAGAAGACAGAUGCAAAAAGAGAUCAGAAUAAUCAAUAAGGUAAAUGUAAUGAGGAGUACUGGCUAGUAUUGGAUCCUCAAGAUGGAGCUUGUAGGGCUUCAAGGAGAACUUUCCGGAAACACACACACAACAUUGGAAAGAAAUAGCUAAGCUGAGCCUUAAAGGAUGAGAAGGAGUCAACCACGUGGAGGAAGAGCCUGGAGAAGAGCAGUCCAGGUAGAGGAACAACCUGGGCAGAGAUGAGAAACACCAUCAUUCAUGAGGGGAGACCACAAGCAAUUUGUGAUCCUGGAGGCCAACGAGGCAGAGAGGAGUGGGGAAAGAGGAGCUGAGCAGUAACUACAGGGAAACAAACGAACAAACUUCUAUCCUGAAAGUUGACAAAUGUUCCUUUCUGAGCCAAGGUUCUGCUUCUGUUGAUCGUCUUAAGCCUCGGGAAAUCCCCCACCUGUAGGACUGGCCCUUGGGUUUCAUGUGUGUCAUGUGGGAUGUUCUUUCUGCUUCGUCUUAAUAUCAGAGUGACAGAUUACAGUGUGAAGGUCCCAGAGGUGGAGACACUCCUGCUGAGAAUCCACAUCGAAAAAUUCAGAAGCCUUGAGAAGUAAAGGUGAUCCAGAAAGAAUUUUGAGACUUUUUUUAAUAUGAUGAGGAAGAUGAAACCAGGAGACCAACUUCAUAUUGUUCCAGUAUUCCAAGCCAGCAAAAAGAGGAAAUCUCCCAAUCAUCUCUUGUGUAUUCACUUCAAGGAAGAAUUCUAAUUGACUCUGAUUUAAUCUCCUGUCUAACCUUGGGCCAGUCAUUGGAUAUAAGGGAGUGGAUAACUAAGAUUGUUUAGGCUUGGUCACAACCCUUUCCAUUUAACAUGGGACAGAGGGAUAGUGUAUUAGUCAGAGUUCUCCAGAGAAACAGAAACAAUAAGAGAUAUACAUCUAUAUAUAGAGAGAUUUAUUAUAAGUAAAUGGCCAAUUAUGGAAGUUGGCAAGUCCCAAGAUCUUUAGUGAGUCAACAAGCUGGAGACCCAAGAGAGUGGAUAGUAUAAUUCCAGCCCAAUUCUGAAACCCUGAGAAUCAGGAGAGCUGAUGGCAUAGUUCUAAUCCAAAGGUCAACAGGGUCAAAACCAAGGAUAGCCAAUGUUUCAGUUCAAGUCUGAAGACAGAAAAUAAACAAAUAUCCCAGUUCAAAGGAAGUCAGGCAUCAAAAAUUCCCUUACUUGGGGGAGAGUCAGCUUAUUUGUUUUAUUCAGGCCUCCAACUGGUUGGAUGAGGCCCACCCAGAAUAGGGAGAGCAAUUUGCUUUACCCAUUCAGCUGAUCUAAAUGUUAAUCUCAUCCAAAAACGCCCUCACAGAAACACCCAGGGUAGUAUUUGACCAAAUAUCUGGACAUCCUGUGGCCCAGACAAUUUGACUCAUAAAAUUAACCAUCAUAAAUACGUUACCAGAAGAAGGAAAAAAAGAGGACAAAAGGUAUUGAGCAGAUUUUUAAAAACAAUACUAUCAUAGAUUAUCAUUACUAAUAGUAGUUUCUUUGACUUCUAUAGAGAUGAUUACAAUAAGCCUAGAUUAAUUAUACCCAAAACCCUUGUGUAUUUCUCAAUUUCUGGCAGAGAUAGGUUACCAGGAUAUUGAUCCCAUUAGAAACUGUCUUGGUAGAGGAGGAAUCCUACUAGUACAAGGUUCUCAACCUUGAAUAUAUUGACAUCCGUGCUGGAAAAUUCUUUGUUGAGGGGUGUUGUCCUGUGUAGUGUAAGAUGUUUACAGCAUUCCUGACCUCUACCCACCAGAUGCCAGUAGCACCCAACCCCCUGCACCAUCCACCUUGCGACAAUCAAAAAUGUCUCCAGGCAUUGUCAAAUGUUCCCUGGGGAACAAAAUCUCCUCCCACCUCUGGCUGAGAAGAAUUAUACUAAUAGCUCCCGGCUAAGUAGUAAGUCAUACCUCUCUAUUCUUCACCCUUAGUCCCAAAUGAUGGAGGGCAUGCUGCCAUGCUGGGUUGGUUUUACAACUUUUUAACUCCCCCUGCCAUCCCUUCUACGCACACCCCAUUACACUGAAGCUCCCCAUCACUGGGGCACUGAACAAGCAUACUGUUGAGAAAAAACUGCAGGGUAUACAACUCAAGAUAUUUGGGGGUCUAGUCCCUCCUCUGGCACUGACUUGUGUAUGGCUGGGCAUCUCUUUUCUCUCCUGGCCUUGGUUUUCCAUAUUGGCAAAACGAGAAGAUGUCCUGUAAUUCUUCAUGUUACUCUAAAAUUGUUUGAUACAAAUUGAUGAGAUUUAAACUAUGAAAUGGAAAAUCACCAUACAGAAUUCACUGACUGAGUACUUUGUGACUAAGAUCCUAAAUUUCCCAUAAGCAUCUCUUUUGCUUCUUGGAAGUGAAGAUUGCAUUGGGUUACUUGAAUAAGGAACCUGGGCAAAAGUGAGGACUGACCUACAUCUGGAUUUCUGCUGCUACUUGAUGUUUUGUUUUGGGGUGUCACUCAAGAUUCCAUCUGUGCGUAGGAAAACAGUGUCAAGUGGAAAAUCAUUCAGUGUGGCUAAACGAUUGGGAGAUUGUGCAAAUUUAGGUGCCAGAGUAACGGGUACAUUACCAGAGUCGGGGGUAGUGGAAUGCAUAAUAAAACACAUAUUUCUAUAACUGGGUGAAUUAUUUCUCAUCUUUAUGUUUGAAAUUUAGAUAUAUGGGAGAG